GAAAGCACGACAUUGCUCACAUUGCUUCCAGUAUUUCUUGCCAGCCUUGCGCUGGCUUUUUUUU
rfam:Erwinia sp. EM595 isolate E_g_EM595 genome assembly, chromosome: 1